rnacentral:tRNA from 1 species
GGAGGGAUGGCAGAGAGGUCGAAUGCACCGGUCUUGAAAACCGGAGUCUCAAAAGGACCGUGGGUUCGAAUCCCACUCCCUCCG